rnacentral:tRNA from 1 species
GCCUGGGUGGCUCAGUCGGUUAAGUGUCUGACUUCGGCUCAGGUCAUGAUCUCACAGCUCAUGAGUUCAAGUCCCAUCUUGGGCU